UACAGAGGUCUCAAGCGUUGUUCGGAUUCAUUGGGCGUAAAGGGUGCGUAGGCGGCGCGGUAAGUCGGGUGUGAAAUCUCGGGGCUUAACUCCGAAACUGCAUUCGAUACUGCCGUGCUUGAGGACUGGGAGAGGAGACUGGAAUUUACGGUGUAGCGGUGAAAUGCGUAGAUAUCGUAAGGAAGACCAGUGGCGAAGGCGGGUCUCGUGGACAGUUCCUGACGCUGAGGCACGAAGGUCAGGGGAGCAAACGGGG
rnacentral:rRNA from 1 species